GAUGAAGAACGCAGCGAAAUGCGAUAAGUGAUGUGAAUUGCAGAAUUCAGUGAAUCAUCGAAUCUUUGAACGCACAUUGCGCCCGCCAGUAUUCUGGCGGGCAUGCCUGUUCGAGCGUCAUUUCAACCCUCAGGCCCCCAGUGCCUGGCGUUGGGGAUCGGCGUGGGCAGCGACGGCUCUCCGGAGCCCGAACCAAUGCCUGCCGGCCCCGAAAUUCAGUGGCGGUCUCGCUGUAGUCCCCCUCUGCGUAGUAGCACAACUCGCAUUGGAGCUCGGCGGUGGCCAUGCCGUAAAACACCCCACUUCUGAAAGUUGACCUCGGAUCAGGUAGGAAUACCCGCUGAACUUAAGCAUAUCAAUAAGCGGAGGA
rnacentral:misc_RNA from 1 species